CUAGGAAUAUUGGACAAUGGGCGAAAGCCUGAUCCAGCAACACCGCGUGGAGGACGAAGGCCUUCGGGUCGUAAACUCCUUUUUUGGGGGGAUGAGAAAGGACAGUACCCCCAGAAUAAGGCCCGGCUAACUACGUGCCAGCAGCCGCGGUAAUACGUAGGGCCAAGCGUUAUCCGGAUUUACUGGGCGUAAAGCGCAUGUAGGCGGUCUGCUAAGUCGGACGUGAAAGCCCCUGGCUCAACUAGGGGAGUUGUUCGAAACUAGUAGACUAGAGGGUGGUAGAGGAGAGCGGAAUUCCGAGGUGUAGCGGUGAAAUGCGUAGAUAUCUGGAGGAACACCAGUGGCGAAAGCGGCUCUCUGGCCCACUCCUGACGCUGAGAUGGCGAAAGGCCAGGGGAGAGA
rnacentral:rRNA from 1 species